AUUUAAGUAGUUUAACACCAAAACACUAAUUUGUGACAUUAGAAAUAGCACAGCAAGAAGCUCUUAGAUC
rnacentral:tRNA from 1 species